UAUAUCAUAGUUUCUUUAUUCACAUGUUGAUCAAUGAGCAUUUGGGUUGGUUCCUUCAGCACCAAUUUUAUGAAGGAUAAACUUGCAGCCCAGAGAGGUAAAGUAAGUUUCCGGGGCCACGCUGCAGCCAAUCAGGAAAGGGGCUGCAAAGAAAGGGCUCUUGACCCUUUUGCUGGUUCCACUGCCUGUUGGAAGCCAGAGACCUAGGUUCCUAUUGCUAUUGUGCCAGUGAUUUACCAUGUGGCUUUGGGCAAAGGACCUUUCCCCUUCUGUUUAUUGGAGUUUCUCCCUCUGCUUGGGGGAGUGGCCAGUGGUUGGAUUUCUUUUGUGGUUUAAGGCACUCUGCAAUAGAAAAUGCAAACUGUAUGUAUAAUUUAACAUUUUCUCCUAGAGAAGGGACACAAGUGACAUUUUAAUAAAUGUAUUUGACCCACUUAUACAAAAUAUUAGCAUUUUAAUAUGUAAUCAGUAUGUUAAAACUUAAGCCAGAUAUUUUGUACAUGUUUUUUUUUUCAUAUAAAGUUUUCAAAUUUCAAUGUGUGUGUUAUACUUCCAGCCCAUCUCAAUCCAGACUCCCCACACUUCAGCCGCCCCUUGGGACCCGCAGGCACUCUACUGGACCGUGCAGAUUUGCAGUUGUGCUUCCUAGACCCAGACUGCCCGAGGGUUGGAACCAAGCUGUGCUCCGCGAGCUGUGU